rnacentral:rRNA from 1 species
CACGUAGGGGGCGAGCGUUGUCCGGAUUUAUUGGGCGUAAAGAGCUCGUAGGCGGCUCGGUAAGUCAGGUGUGAAAACUCUAGGCUCAACCUAGAGACGCCACCUGAUACUGCCGUGGCUAGAGUCCGGUAGGGGAGCAUGGAAUUCCUGGUGUAGCGGUGGAAUGCGCAGAUAUCAGGAGGAACACCAACGGCGAAGGCAGCUCGCUGGGACGGUACUGACGCUGAGACGCGAAAGCGUGGGGAGCGAACAGG